AAUAAAAUUUUAUAUUUUUUCGACAUAGUUUACUUUAUGAUCAAACCAUUUCAAAAUUAUCAAUUUUCAAUGACUAUUAUGACGAGUUUGGAGUUUAACGGUGUAGAAAAAUCUAAAUUUCUUCAAAUUUUGAUAGAAAAUACUUUAAACUAUAUAGAUUAAGGUUAACAUUCUUGAUCUUGAAUUUAAAAGUCCUAUAUUCAAAUUUUAAAAAGUAUUCAAUUUUCACCGUCCAUUUUGACAUAAUUUAUUUACUAAGUAACGAUAUCGAAAAAAACUAAAAUUUUAUUUCUAAGAACUUCAUAUACCCUAAAUCAUAUUUAACGAUGUGGAUCGUUGAUUUGAACGCCCUAAGAUCGAAAACAACACUAUAGUACCGGAGCUCCGGUACUAUAGAUAGUAUAGUAGUCUAAUUCUAUAUGUAUAUAUAUAUAUGAGUGAGGCUACUAUGCUAUCAGAAGCACGGAGCCUUCCCUGCUUCCAGCACGUUUUCGAUGUUGCAACUUUCGAAUCGUCGAUCAGCUCCUUUAAACUUGAUCUAGAGUAUUUGGAGUAUCUAGAAAAUAAAUUUUAUUAUUUUUCGAUAUCAUUUGCCUAGUGAUCGAAUGGGCUCAACAUCAACAAAUUUCAAUGGCUGUAGUGAGCCGUUUGCAAGUUUAACGGUGUAGAAAUAUCCAAAUCACGUGAAAUUUUAAUAGAAAAUUCUUUAUAUUAUAUUAAACAAGAUCAAUAUCUUUGAUUUAAAAUUUUAAUGUCAUAUUAUUAUAUUUUGUAAGAUUUUUAUUUUUAACCGUUGAUUUUGAGCCCCUUCGUUCACUAGGCAUAUGAUAUCGUAAAAUCAUAAAAUUUAUUUUCUAGGUACUUCAAAUACUCUAGAUUAAGUUUAACGGAGCCGAUCGACGAUUCGAAAGUCGUAACAUCGAAAACGAGCUGAAAGCACGAAGGCUCCGUGCUUCCGAUAGCAUAGUAGCCUCACUCAUAUAUAUAU
rnacentral:lncRNA from 1 species